UUUCAGCGUUGCAAUAAUGCUGGUCGCAGCAGCGAGAAAGUGUUGAGGCUAUGAAACUUCCAGUCAUUCCUCACUGUGAUAAGUGCCUAAACCUGAAUGAGAACUCAUAGCCACACUAUUUCAGUGUGGCUUUCAACUGCAUAUCGAUAAACAUACAGAGUGCAUUUGAGUGUUCCUUCAAGGAUUUGAUUUCAGAGCCCUCAUCAGCCUGAUCACCGUUUUCCUGGUUGUGCUGUAAUUAAUUAAUUAACUAGACAAUUAUUUAUGGAGCAAUAUUGCUAUGCACAGUACUAUCCAGAAUUGCAAAGCAGAACCAUACAUUUGAAAACCCUUUGUAUGAACUAUGCAGCUUGUCAUUUCGGAUGCUAUGACUGUUGGAGCCAUACCAAAAUAAAGAUGAGUAAAAUCAGAAAAUGAGAGAAAUGAGUACAGGAAUUACUGAAUUGAAGUUAAAAGAAAAUGAGGAACUAUUGUUUAACUACAUGACGACGGCAGCAAGGAUUACAUAUGCAAAGUAUUGGAGACAGGAGGAAAUACCAGAUGUAGACCAAUGGCUAAUUAAGUUAAUGGAAAUUAAAAAUAUAAACUAACAUAGAUAAUAACCAAACAUCAAGGAGUGCCGAAGAGAAGUACAGACUGGAAACCACUAUUAGACUAUAUGCGGCAAGAAAAGAUCACAAUACUAAUUUAGAGACGACUGAGGUUUUAUUUUUAUAGUAUUGAUUUACAACAUUUGAGAAUACGCAAAGACAAUUUGUAAAUUUUGACAGGAUACAAAGGCACUAGUAAUCGAAAAAAUGAUCCUGGGAUAUCUACUUUACCACAGAGAAACAGAUUUACAAAUGGAAGGAAACUAAUCCAGGGGGAAGGUUCCUCCCCGGAUGUAACUUGGUAUAGAUAUGGAUGGAAGUCAGACAAAGUUUUACUUUUUUUUCUUUCCUUUUUACCCUCUCCCCCCUUCAACUUCCUACUUUCCUAUAACUAAAAAUGUUCCCCCGCUUUUAUUGUUAUCUUUUGAAAUUUUAAAUAAAAAUAUAUUUUUUAAAAAGUAUGUGUGAAUGUAGUAUGUGGGGUGUGUUACUUUCCUAAAAUCCCAAAAGACUGAGAAGUAGCCAUAUUUCAAUAUCUGAAUGGCUGCUGUAAGGAAUAGCUUGACCCUUAGGGGGACUUGAAAGUAGGGGAGUGCAUGACUUCAUUUUUGAGUACCGGAUUCAGAUGGUUUGGCGGAUUCAGUUGCUGGAUCCAUGAAAAUGAGCCUGAUACCAGAUCUUCCAACCCGAUGCAGAGGCAGCGGUGUGUGGGCAGGGCAGCCUCGCAAAUCAAUAAAGCUAUGGCUCCUCCUUUGCUUUCUUCCCCAGCAGGCUCCUCCAUCUCUUUCUGAAGGCCUCCCACUCCCAUGCCCACUUAAGGCAAAUGGGAACUCGCUUUCCCAGCAGCACUUUGAGCAGCACAAACAUUGAAGGAGCCUUGUGCUCCCUUCUGGGACAUGAUGGGAGUUGAAGUUUUUCUCUCUGUAUGUCACUUUUUUUGUUGAAUGAGCUCCCUCUAUCAGCUCCAGCUCCAUGUGGGGACAUGAGAGAAGCCUCCCACAAGGAUGGUAAAAACAUCAAAACAUCCGGGUGUCCCCUGGGCAACAGCCUUGCAGACAGCCAAUUCUCUCACUCCAGAAGCAACUCAAGUUGCUCCUGACACGAAAAAAAAGAGGCCUGGUUGACUAUGUCCAUUCUCCUCUCCUCUUGUGGCAUGAGUUUGGGACUUCAGCUCCCAAAACCACCCCUUGUGUGUGUGUGUGUUUUUUUAAAAAAAUGUUAUGGUAAAACUUUUUAAAAUUCCAAAAAAAUUACUGGAUUGAUGAAAUGUUCUGAAACUUGCCAGCCUCGCAGUAGAAAAUGUGGCCUGUAUAAGUGAGGUGAGUUUCAUGCUGACAGGCCUAAAAAUUAUGGAGAAAUGAUCCCCUAAAGCAGGGGUCCCCAAACUAAGGCCCUGGGGCCACAUGCAACCCAUAGAAACCAUUUAUCCAACCCCUACAGCAGCAGCUCCCUCCUCCUCCGCCGAGGAAGGUGACGCACCUCAGACUAAGUUCACCUUGCUAUAGAUACCCAGUCAGACACACAGAUAGUCUUUUGAAGUUUUUAUUAAGCAAAGCAGAAUGUAAAUAAAGCAAGCAAUCAAAAGGUAAUUCAAAAUUGUAGUGAAAGAGUCAAUAGGUCCAAGAGAUUCACAAAGUUCAUAAAUGUCUAUUAAUCCAAAAGGGCUAAGUCCAUAGGUUCAAAGAGCAUAGCAGGAACAAUAAUCCAUAAGGCAAAGAAUUAGUCCAUAGAGUCCAAAGCACAAGAUCCAAGAAUCCAAGAUAAUCCACAAGGUGAAGAAUUCGUCCAUAGAGUCCAAGAACAAGGUCCAAGAAUCCACGAUAAACCACAAGGCAAAGAGUCCAAAGAACAAGGCCCAAAGAUUCAAGAACGCUGGCUAGGUAGAAC